rnacentral:rRNA from 1 species
AUGGAAGCCAUUGCAUACAACAGCCAGGCAAUCCGUUUCAAUAGCGUGCUAGAAACCGGUAGGACCUAUGAUUUCAAUCGCGUCGGGUUCAACCCCACAGAAAUGCCUGAUGGACAUUUCUGGUACCUAGCCAUGGACUUUGUGACCACACUAAGUUCUACGACCGAGGUUACAAUGUCGGCGCAACAAAUAACGUCGACAAUUUGCCCACCGUAUGUGGUUGCUAUCCUUGCCUAUGUUGGUCAGAUAGAAUUUAUGUGGGAUUCAAUAUAUAGGCGCCACGUCCCUUCCCUCGAGAUUGGCCUCAUGAACUUUCAACGGCAGAUAAUUUUCUUACGUGUACGUGAAAAGCACGUUGGGCCUAACUUCUGGCAUUUGCAAUGCACUGACAACCUGUUCGAGAAGUUUGCUGUAACUUACAUACAGGUAAAUCAGAGGCAGCGUUGCUUGCAAACUAUGAGGGAGAGCACAUUCUUCUUCUCUCCCAACAUUAAUGAUGAUCAUCAUUAUCUACAAGAUAUCCAUGAAGCCAGCCUGACGACACUUGAUGAAACACGUGCUUACGUCAAUCGUGUUGUUCAAGGUAGGAACAAUGGACGUCAUAACUAUCACAGCCGAAAUUAG